AUGCAUCUCUAUUCUUACUUCUCAUGGCAAGAAAAAGAAAAUACAAUGCAGAAUCAAAACCAGAAUAAAAAACAAUACCAAACGAACAAUAAUGUUUGUAGCAAAGCACAAUCAAAGCAAAAGAAAUUCGACAGUCUUCGUGCAAGCUUCACCAUGCAAAAGAUAUCCAAUAUAAGAAUCAAGACAUCAUCGUGUGAGAAUAGAUCGCAUGCGGAAAACACAUCGCAUCAAAAUAAUUGUCCUGCACAAAAUUAUUUUACACAAGCACAACAUAACCCGUAA